AGGCCACCAAUGGAUUCUAUUGAAACCAUGCAAGUGCACAACAGAGGUCCCUUAUUGCUUAUAUUCUGCCAAUUCAAAAUGCCAAGAGGGAUCAUCUGAUUGGUCAAUCUAGUUCCCUUGCUGAGUUCUUACUGCUGAGGGCAAGAGAAAGGGAGAAUAGCUCCCCUCAGUCUUGGGAAGUUGGGGGGAAACUGCAUCCAAUUGAAAUAGGCAUAUUGAUUGACUUCUCCAAAAUAAGAAAGAACACAGACUGUUGGAAAUGCAUAAAAAUUCAAUCGAUCAAUCAAGAUUCACCACAGCUAUAUUAUAACCUUGGAUUUGAAAGCUACAUCAGAUAAAAGGAUAUUAAGUCUAGAAUUUUAUAUGUGCUGCAGCCCUUGGUUGGUGAAGCAGAAAUAAUCAGAUGUCCUCCACAAAUUCGUGCUCUUCCUUUCAAAGUAUAGAUUGGUCAAGGGGAAGUGGUUUCCAAGUGAGAGGCUACAUUUUCUGGCACUCUUCACAGUGAGGUGCAGUCAAGUGACAAGGUUAUAAUGAAUGGAAUGCACAAAGAAUAAAUUUCCACUUCCAGGCUUGGCUUACAAAAAUUUUCUCUGCUUACUCUUCCAUGAUCUUUUCUUCUCUGGCUAUCUAGAAUAGAUGGUAUUCAAGGUGACAUUAGAAACUAUUAUCAGAGACUCUGAUAAUCUGGACUUUAAAAUGGCUACAUGGAGGAAGGUCCCUUACUGAUCUCUUUACCUGCCCAGUGAUCCUAUCUAAGCAAGAAAUAAUUUCCUUUUAGGUUAUGGGCAUCAUUAGGUCAUUUAUUACUAAUAUACUUAGCUUGCUUUGAGUUUUGUCUUGUGUUUUGUUUUGUUAUGAGUAGGGUGUAGUAGAAUGAACACAGGCUUUAAAAUGAGACAGACCUGGGUUCAAAACCAUCUCCACUGCUUAAUUCCUAUAUGUUCUUUCUUAGUCUUUACUUUGAAAAAGUGAAAUUAAUCAUGUUGUAUACCAUGAAAGGGAGCCAUAAGGAUCAAACGAAAUAAUGAAUGUAAAACACUUUGUAUGAUGCGUGGCACACAGUAGGUGCUAACUGAAUGGUAAACUGCUGGCAGAACAUGUUGUAUAUAGUAGGAAGAGCAGUAUAAGGUGGGAACUAGGAGAUGGGGGUCCUUAGUGCAGGAUUGCUACUCCCUGUAUAUCCAUAAAGAAAUCCCUUUGCCUCUUCCAACAUUGCUUUUUUUUUUUCUGCCUAAGCUCUAGGCUCUGCACAAUUCCUCAAGUAACCCUGCAAGGAGCCGAACUGAACCACACAAACUCUGAUCACCAUAUCCUUUCCAAGGAGAGAAGCCUCAAUGUGGCUUGUUUCACAUGAUGGGACUCCAGAAGAGUGUUUGAAGAAGAGAAGUGGAAUCUAGCUGAGUACAUUGGAUCUAAGAACAAAGCACAGCAGUCACAGACUUGGAACCAUUACUGCCCACGCACACCACUCUGAUAUCUCAGAAAACCUGAGGGUGACAGGGCAUCCCUCGGGGAUAAGAACAUUUAAGAAACAUUUAGAGAAGUGGAAAUCUCAAAUGACAAGAAAGAUGGACAUAUUGAAAAAUUGAAAUUCCAUUUGAAUGGACAACAGUGUGAGAUUGCCUUGAUGGGAUUAUCAUUUAGAUGCGGUUUCUUCAACAGUAUGAAAAUCAUACAAGCUUGCUUCAAAGUGAGAACAGAUCUCUUCACUGAAAAGCUGGUUCACAUUUGGGAGCAGCCACUAAACAUUAUGUGUUUUUAUUAAUAAUAAAUAUAAUAA